rnacentral:rRNA from 1 species
UACGUAGGGGGCAAGCGUUGUCCGGAAUCAUUGGGCGUAAAGCGCGUGUAGGCGGCUCGAUAAGUCUGCUGUGAAAGUCCAGGGCUCAACCCUGGGAUGCCGGUGGAUACUGUCGAGCUCGAGUCCGGAAGAGGCGAGUGGAAUUCCUGGUGUAGCGGUGAAAUGCGCAGAUAUCAGGAGGAACACCAAUGGUGAAGGCAGCUCGCUGGGACGUGACUGACGCUGAGACGCGAAAGCGUGGGGAGCAAACAGG